GCGCGCCCGGCCCUUCCCGGGGCGAGGCUGACUCCGCCGUCAGCUCCGCCCCGCCGGGUCCCGGACCGCAGGCCCUGCCCGCCCCGGGACUCACCUGGCGCCGAGCACCAGCGCGGGCAGCAGCGGCAGCAGCGGCAGCAGUUGGCAAGAUUGUGAGUCGCCAUCAGCCAUGACAUUGUGUCCACGCUGUCCUGAGAAAACGAAGACCCAAAAUUGACUUUAUGCCUUCAGAGAGCUGGGAUACCCAGUUGCCAUGUUGUCCCUUGAAUAGAAUCAUGUGACGAACAGCUGAGGACUGUCAACAAGAGAGAGCUUGAGUGAGCUUGGAAAUUAAUCUUUCAUUUAUCCCACGCAGUCUUGAGAUGAUUACACCCUGGCUGAAAACAUGUGUGCAAAUUUCUGAGAUACCAUGAGCCUGAAUUACCCAGCAAAGAUUCUCAUGGAUUCCUGACCAACUGAGACUGAGAAAAUAAAAGCUUAUUUUAUACUGCUAUGUUUUACCACAAUCAUUUCAUGCUACCAAAAAUAAUUAACAGAGAAAUUACAUA